GUCCUCGUAGUAUAAACUAAUACACUAGUCUUGUAAACUAAAAAUGGAAUACGCCCCCUAGGACA
rnacentral:tRNA from 1 species